rnacentral:rRNA from 1 species
GACGAACCGAGCAAACGUUAUUCGGAAUCACUGGGCUUAAAGGGCGCGUAGGCGGGCAUUCAAGUCCGUGGUGAAAUCCGGCAGCUCAACUGUCGAAUUGCCGCGGAUACUGGGUGUCUCGAGGGAGGUAGGGGCGCGCGGAACUAACGGUGGAGCGGUGAAAUGCGUUGAUAUCGUUAGGAACUCCGGUGGCGAAGGCGGCGCGCUGGACCUCUUCUGACGCUGAGGCGCGAAAGCCAGGGGAGCAAACGGG